AAAUUUGCUACCUUUACCCACUAACACACUCUCUACCCUCGUUCUCUUCCCUACUAUCAGCCAUCAGCCACAGCAAUAAUCCCUAUCCACUGCCAUCAGCUUCUCUUUCUCUUCCCUUUUCACAGAACCCAUUGCCAUCAACAAUAAUCCCUACCCACUACCGGUCAGCCUCUCUUUCUUUUUCCUUUUCACAAAACCCACAUCUACUGCCAAUUUAUUUGAGAAUUCCCUUUUCAGCUUCAGAGUGUCGUCGUUCUUUCUGCCUUCAUCGUGCACCAUGUCUUCCCAUCGUCCUCAGCGCCGUCUCCCCCUUCAUCGCUACACUUCAAGAGUUUCAAUGGAACCUCAGCCUCAGCAGCAAACUCAUGGGAAAUCAACUCCAAAUUGAAAGGCUUUUGGAGUUCCUAUUGUGUCUAAGCAUUGCAAUGUUACAAAAGGAUCUGAUCUCCGUGAUCUCUAUCUAAAGCAAUUGCUAGCAACCAUAGUUUCUUUUUCUUUUCUAUUUUUAAUGUGUAUUUUGCUGAGGAAUUAGGGAGAAUGAAGUGGAAAAAAAAAACAAAUUCUACAUAGUUUUCCAUUCUUAAAGAAGUGGAUCUGAGUAGUAUUGUAAUUUUCUGAGAGGUUCUGGGUUGUGUGUAUCUACUAAAUAAUAUCAAGGAUGUUUACUUGCUUAAAUUUUUAAAAGUAACAGUAGGGAGAACCAAUAGUUGUUAACUUUCAUUGAUUUAGAGAUAUUACUGGUAGAAUCUGCAUGUGUUCAAUUGUUUUCAAAUAAAAUAUUGUAAUAAUCCUUAUGGAUAUGCAGUUUAGAAUUUAUAUAGAAUGAGUCUUGAGUCUUGAGAUCA